GAUGAACGCUGGCGGCGUGCCUAAUACAUGCAAGUCGAGCGAACAGACGAGGAGCUUGCUCCUCUGACGUUAGCGGCGGACGGGUGAGUAACACGUGGAUAACCUACCUAUAAGACUGGGAUAACUUCGGGAAACCGGAGCUAAUACCGGAUAAUAUAUUGAACCGCAUGGUUCAAUAGUGAAAGACGGUUUUGCUGUCACUUAUAGAUGGAUCCGCGCCGCAUUAGCUAGUUGGUAAGGUAACGGCUUACCAAGGCAACGAUGCGUAGCCGACCUGAGAGGGUGAUCGGCCACACUGGAACUGAGACACGGUCCAGACUCCUACGGGAGGGAGCAGUAGGGAAUCUUCCGCAAUAGGCGAAAGCUUGACGGAGCAACGCCGCGUGAGUGAUGAAGGUCUUCGGAUCGUAAAACUCUGUUAUGAGGGAAGAACAAAUGUGUAAGUAACUAUGCACGUCUUGACGGUACCUAAUCAGAAAGCCACGGCUAACUACGUG
rnacentral:rRNA from 1 species